rnacentral:rRNA from 1 species
UACGGAGGGUGCGAGCGUUGUCCGGAAUCACUGGGCGUAAAGGGCGCGUAGGCGGCUCAUGAAGGCUGUGGUGAAAGUCCGGGGCUCAACCUCGGAUCGGCCGUGGCGACUCGUGGGCUGGAGCACUGUAGAGGCGGGUGGAAUUCCGGGUGUAGCGGUGGAACGCGUAGAGAUCCGGAAGAACACCAGUGGCGAAGGCGGCCCGCUGGGCAGUGGCUGACGCUGAAGCGCGACAGCGUGGGGAGCAAACAGG